rnacentral:rRNA from 1 species
GUUGAACGCUGGCGGCAGGCCUAACACAUGCAAGUCGAGCGGAUGAAGGGAGCUUGCUCCUGGAUUCAGCGGCGGACGGGUGAGUAAUUCCUAGGAAUCUGCCUGGUAUUGGGGGAUAACGUCCGGAAACGGGCGCUAAUACCGCAUACGUCCUGAGGGAGAAAGUGGGGGAUCUUCGGACCUCACGCUAUCAGAUGAGCCUAGGUCGGAUUAGCUAGUUGGUGGGGUAAAGGCCUACCAAGGCGACGAUCCGUAACUGGUCUGAGAGGAUGAUCAGUCACACUGGAACUGAGACACGGUCCAGACUCCUACGGGAGGCAGCAGUGGGGAAUAUUGGACAAUGGGCGAAAGCCUGAUCCAGCCAUGCCGCGUGUGUGAAGAAGGUCUUCGGAUUGUAAAGCACUUUAAGUUGGGAGGAAGGGCAGUAAGUUAAUACCUUGCUGUUUUGACGUUACCAACAGAAUAAGCACCGGCUAACUUCGUG